rnacentral:misc_RNA from 1 species
CUUACCUAGAAAUCUUAAUUGUAGACAAUUAGAGACUUUGUAUGAAGCGACAAACAUGAUACAUCCAAUUUCCCAAACUAGAAGACGAAAAUAAGCAAAACAAAAAUUGACGGUGCAAGUUGCAAGAUGAUAGAAAUUUGAUUCUCACAAUAGCAAUAGCAAUAGCAAUAGCAAUAAUCUCUUAUCCUAUAACCUAUCAAAAUCCAUUUCGAAAUACUUUCAAUUAAAUUUGAACUCUAGUGAUUCCGCAAUUCGAAAACGAAAGGG